AGGCAGCAGUGUUUGGGAAGGAGUAAAUGAAGCAGUUGGAAGCAAAGAAGCUGCUGCUUUGGGAUCCGCAAAUCAGAGGAUCAGGAAAUGUGAAACAACUUUCCUGACAGCUUCAGGGAGUGACAUCCAGGCAGGAACUCGGCGGCUUGGCAGAGCUGGAGGAGGAUAGCAGCGCUCUUUUUCCAACCUGGAAACAGCCCAUUCAGUCAAUAACUCACCUCCAGUGCCUUUUCCUAAAGCAUUUACAGUCAGGAGAACAAAUUCAGAUACCCCAGAAAAUCAAGAAGUCAUGACAAUUAAAGAGUCCUGUACCAGCACAUCCUGUCUUCACUGCCUGCAAAGCUCACCACUCUCUUCUCCAUCCACAAACUCCCAUACUCCUUUGAAGCAGCAGCUGAGCCGCCACAACCUCGAGCCUCUCUCCUGAUCACAGCAUCACAUAGACAAGGCUUCAGUGGAACCAUGACAAUUAGAAUAUUUAUUGAU